rnacentral:rRNA from 1 species
AUUGAACGCUGGCGGCAUGCCUUACACAUGCAAGUCGAAAGGCAGCACGGGAGCAAUCCUGGUGGCGAGUGGCGAACGGGUGAGUAAUAUAUCGGAACGUGCCCAGUCGUGGGGGAUAACGUAGCGAAAGCUACGCUAAUACCGCAUACGAUCUAUGGAUGAAAGCGGGGGAUCGCAAGACCUCGCGCGAUUGGAGCGGCCGAUAUCAGAUUAGGUAGUUGGUGAGGUAAAGGCUCACCAAGCCGACGAUCUGUAGCUGGUCUGAGAGGACGACCAGCCACACUGGGACUGAGACACGGCCCAGACUCCUACGGGAGGCAGCAGUGGGGAAUUUUGGACAAUGGGCGCAAGCCUGAUCCAGCAAUGCCGCGUGCAGGAUGAAGGCCUUCGGGUUGUAAACUGCUUUUGUACGGAGCGAAAAGGCUUCCACUAAUACUGGGGGCUCAUGACGGUACCGUAAGAAUAAGCACCGGCUAACUACGUGCCAGCCGCCGCGGUAAAAC